GACGAACGCUGGCGGCGUGCUUAACACAUGCAAGUCGAACGGAAAGGCCCUGCUUUUGUGGGGUGCUCGAGUGGCGAACGGGUGAGUAACACGUGAGUAACCUGCCCUUGACUUUGGGAUAACUUCAGGAAACUGGGGCUAAUACCGGAUAGGAGCUCCUGCUGCAUGGUGGGGGUUGGAAAGUUUCGGCGGUUGGGGAUGGACUCGCGGCUUAUCAGCUUGUUGGUGGGGUAGUGGCUUACCAAGGCUUUGACGGGUAGCCGGCCUGAGAGGGUGACCGGCCACAUUGCGACUGAGAUACGGCCCAGAGUCCUACGGGAGGCAGCAGUGGGGAAUAGUGCACAAUGGGCCGAAGCCUGAUGCAGCAACGCCGCGUGCGGGAUGACGGCCUUCGGGUUGUAAACCGCUUUCGCCUGUGACGAAGCGUGAGUGACGGUAAUGGGUAAAGAAGCACCGGCUAACUACGUG
rnacentral:rRNA from 1 species